UGAAGGAAGCCACGGUGUGUUUUAAUAAAACAGUGUCUCCCAGUUAAGUGGUGGGACAAACAGGAACCACCGGAUGGAUCGUCGGCCGUGCCCACCCGCCUCAGGCUAACCUCGAGGACGCUGGUCUGAUUGUCCCUGUGUCUCUCCUGGGCAGUUCUGCCUGGUGUCUAACCGUGGGCCUCCCUGCUUUGUUCAGCCCUCCCCCCACGUAGGGUCUGGAGAGGGGGACAGACCUGGGCUCAGAGGAUGGCACCUCACAUCAAAGGGACCCACCUUGACAACCAGACCCUUCCCUCCCCGUGGGGUUUCGAGGUCUGGAUUCCCCACAAGCCAUAAUCGCAAAAGGCUGGGUUUGCCUCCUCCGAGCAGCCCCUCGAACACAGUCAGUGUGUCCCCUUCCUCAGGAGGGUGCACACGGCGAUGGCCGGGCCAGGCCCUAGCAGCAGCAGGAGUUCCUGCUGGGACGAGGGAGUGGUCUUUGGGUGAGCCUGGGAAGCCUCAACUGUUAGCAGUCGAAUCCUCUUUCUAAUAAAAUCUCACAU
rnacentral:antisense_RNA from 1 species